AUUGCCCCCAGUAACGGCGAGUGAAGCGGCAACAGCUCAAAUUUGAAAUCUGGCCCCCGGGUCCGAGUUGUAAUUUGUAGAGGAUGCUUUUGGCAAGGUGCCUUCCGAGUUCCCUGGAACGGGACGCCAUAGAGGGUGAGAGCCCCGUCUGGUCGGACGCCGCGCCUCUGUAAAGCUCCUUCGACGAGUCGAGUAGUUUGGGAAUGCUGCUCUAAAUGGGAGGUAUAUGUCUUCUAAAGCUAAAUACCGGCCAGAGACCGAUAGCGCACAAGUAGAGUGAUCGAAAGAUGAAAAGCACUUUGAAAAGAGAGUUAAAAAGUACGUGAAAUUGUUGAAAGGGAAGCGAUUGUGACCAGACUUGGGCCUGUUUGAUCAGCUUGGGUUCUCCCGGGUGCACUCUUUCAGGCCUGGGCCAGCAUCAGUUCGUGGCGGGGGACAAAUGACUCGGGAAUGUGGCUCCCCCCGGGGAGUGUUAUAGACCGUAUCGGAAUACCCUGCUGUGGACUGAGGGCCGCGCACUUCGGUGCAAGGAUGCUGGCGUAAUGGUCACCAUCGACCCGUCUUGAAACACGGACCAAGGAGUCGUCUUCGUAUGCGAGUGUUCGGGUGUCAAACCCCUACGCGGAAUGAAAGUGAACGCAGGUGAGAGCUUCGGCGCAUCAUCGACCGAUCCUGAUGUUCUCGGAUGGAUUUGAGUAAGAGCAUACGGGGCCGGACCCGAAAGAAGGUGAACUAUGCCUGUAUAGGGUGAAGUCAGAGGAAACUCUGAUGGAGGCUCGCAGCGGUUCUGACGUGCAAAUCGAUCGUCAAAUAUGGGCAUGGGGGGCGAAAGACUAAUCGAACCUUCUAGUAGCUGGUUUCCGCCCGAA
rnacentral:rRNA from 1 species